rnacentral:tRNA from 1 species
GCGGGAGUGGCGGAAUCGGCAGACGCGCGAGACUUAAAAUCUUGUGGCCUUCGGGCCGUGCGGGUUCAAGUCCCGCCUCCCGCACCA